rnacentral:rRNA from 1 species
GACGAACGCUGGCGGCGUGCCUAAUACAUGCAAGUAGAACGCUGAAGAAAGGAGCUUGCUUCUUUUGGAUGAGUUGCGAACGGGUGAGUAACGCGUAGGUAACCUGCCUUGUAGCGGGGGAUAACUAUUGGAAACGAUAGCUAAUACCGCAUAACAGCUUUUGACACAUGUUAGAAGCUUGAAAGAUGCAAUUGCAUCACUACGAGAUGGACCUGCGUUGUAUUAGCUAGUAGGUAGGGUAACGGCCUACCUAGGCGACGAUACAUAGCCGACCUGAGAGGGGGAUCGGCCACACUGGGACUGAGACACGGCCCAGACUCCUACGGGAGGCAGCAGUAGGGAAUCUUCGGCAAUGGGGGCAACCCUGACCGAGCAACGCCGCGUGAGUGAAGAAGGUUUUCGGAUCGUAAAGCUCUGUUGUAAGAGAAGAACGUGUGUGAGAGUGGAAAGUUCACACAGUGACGGUAACUUACCAGAAAGGGACGGCUAACUACGUGCCAGCAGCCGCAGUAACAC